rnacentral:rRNA from 1 species
GAUGAACGCUGGCGGCGUGCCUAACACAUGCAAGUCGAACGGGAAAACUUUUAUUGCUGCUUCGGCAGAUUUACCUGGGUUCUAGUGGUGGACGGGUGAGUAACGCGUGCUUAACCUGGGCUAUACAGGGGGAUAACAAUCUGAAAAGGUUGCAUAUACCGCAUAAGCGCACACAGCCGCUCGGUCCGGUGUGAAAAACUCUGGUGGCAUAGGACGGACCCGCGUUGGAUCAGCCAGUUGGCAGGGUAACGGCCUACUAAAGCGACGAUCCAUAGCCGGCCUGAGAGGGUGAGCAGCCACAUUGGGACUGAGACACGGCCCAGACUCCUACGGGAGGCAGCAGUGGGGAAUAUUGCACAAUGGGGGAAAGCCUGAUGCAGCGACGCCGCGUGAGGGAAGAAGUAUCUAGGGAUGUAAACUUCUUUCAGCAGGGAAGAUAGUGACGGUACCUGACGAAUAAGCCCCGGCUAACUACGUG